CCUACGGGUGGCAGCAGUGGGGAAUUUUGCGCAAUGCUCGUAAGAGUGACGCAGCCACGCCGCGUGAAUGACGAAGGCCUUCGGGUCGUAAAGCUCCUUUGACAGGGAAGAAAAUGUCUAUAAGUAACUGUGUAUGUAUUGACGGUACCUGUAUAAGCAGCCUCGGCUAACUCCGUGCCAGCGGCCGCGGUAAUACGGAGGGGGCGAGCGUGGUUCGGAGGGACUGGGCGUAAAGAGCACGUAGGCGGAGUUGUAAGUCAUUAGUCAAAGACUAGAGCUCAACUUUAGUAAGGCUAGUGAUACUAUAAUACUAGAGUAUCAGUGAGGAUUGCAGAAUUCCUGGUGUAGCGGUGAAAUGCGUAGAGAUCA
rnacentral:rRNA from 1 species